UACGUAGGUGGCAAGCGUUGUCCGGAUUUACUGGGCGUAAAGAGCGCGCAGGCGGUCUUGUAAGUCGAAUGUGAAAGCCCCUGGCUCAACUGGGGAGGGUCAUUCGAUACUGCUCGACUCGAAGGCAGGAGAGGGAAGCGGAAUUCCCGGUGUAGUGGUGAAAUGCGCAGAUAUCGGGAGGAACACCAGUGGCGAAGGCGGCUUUCUGGCCUGUUCUUGACGCUGAGGCGCGAAAGCUAGGGGAGCAAACGGG
rnacentral:rRNA from 1 species